rnacentral:rRNA from 1 species
CACGUAGGGUGCGAGCGUUGUCCGGAAUUAUUGGGCGUAAAGAGCUCGUAGGCGGUGUGUCGCGUCGGCCGUGAAAACCUGCAGCUUAACUGUGGGCUUGCGGUCGAUACGGGCAUCACUGGAGUUCGGCAGGGGAGACUGGAAUUCCUGGUGUAGCGGUGAAAUGCGUAGAUAUCAAGAGGAACACCAGUGGCGAAGGCGAGUCCCUGGACGAUACCUGACACUGAGGCACGAAAGCCAAGGGAGCAAACAGG